rnacentral:tRNA from 1 species
CACACAUAGUAUAUUAAAUAUGUUAAAUUUAGAUUUUAAAGAUUAGGGUGUGUU